rnacentral:rRNA from 1 species
UACGUAGGGUGCGAGCGUUGUCCGGAAUUAUUGGGCGUAAAGAGCUCGUAGGCGGCGUGUCACGUCGGAUGUGAAAGCCCGGGGCUUAACCCCGGGUCUGCAUUCGAUACGGGCAUGCUGGAGUUCGGCAGGGGAGAUCGGAAUUCCUGGUGUAGCGGUGAAAUGCGCAGAUAUCAGGAGGAACACCGGUGGCGAAGGCGGAUCUCUGGGCCGAUACUGACGCUGAGGAGCGAAAGCGUGGGGAGCGAACAGG